UGGUGUCCUUGCCUAGACAACGGGAGAGC
rnacentral:piRNA from 1 species